rnacentral:antisense_RNA from 1 species
CUUGAUCGAGCCGAGCAGCAGCGGCCGGUCCUCGGGGCGGCCCUGCCCGUACGUGGCGAGCAGCGCCUGCGCCUC